UACGGAGGGUGCAAGCGUUAAUCGGAAUUACUGGGCGUAAAGCGCGCGUAGGCGGUUUGGUAAGUCGGAUGUGAAAGCCCAGGGCUUAACCUUGGAAUUGCAUUCGAUACUGCAGAACUAGAGUAUGGUAGAGGGAAGUGGAAUUUCGGGUGUAGCGGUGUAAUGCGUAGAUAUAGGAAGGAACACCAGUGGCGAAGGCGACUUGCUGGGCCAAUACUGACGCUGAGGUACGAAAGCGUGGGGAGCAAACAGG
rnacentral:misc_RNA from 1 species